AUGUGGCAGCGAGAAAGACGACACCACCUCUCUGAGUAUGAGCUGCUCUUGGAGCCAUUAGCCGGAUCAUCGGUCUUCCCUGCUGCUUCAACCUGGUGGAUUAGGCGAACGACGAGCCCGUUCCUUCAGCUCAGCCCGAACUACAUCGUUACCAUCGAAAUCCCCUCCGAAGGAAGGGUUUUGCUCUAACAACGUCGACAGAUCCAGAAGAAACUGCGAUGUCGAGUCGAUUGCACAACUCAAGCAACCAAUUUUACAGGGCUCAGAAAUGGCGUGCAGUGGCCCUUGCAUCACUAACCCUAAUUGCUGUCACCUGCAUUCUGAUCAACAGAGAAAAACCAAACCCUUCAUCUGAUCUUUUGAAGCACAAAAAUGCCGGCUUUCAGUCUUCUGUCCGAUUCAGGCCAUCUUUGGAGCUCAUGAAUGGCACCGAUGUCAUUUGGCAAAUCCCCGAUUCGCCCAAGGCCGCUCUUUUCAUUGCUCAUGGUUGCGGUGUCCGAGCUUCCAACUUCUGGGACAAGUACCCAGGCUGCCCAAACUGCACUGGGUUGCCCGAAGAGAGGAUCUUUGUGCUUCGUGCUCUGGAACGAAAAUUUGCUGUCCUAACCAUAUCUAGUUUGGGUAGAUGCUGGUCGUUUGAGGAAACGGAAGCCAUCAAGUGGAUCAUCAAAUGGUGGAUCGAAAAGAAUAAGCUUGGGAAGCUUCCCAUCAUGGCCAUGGGGGCUUCAUCUGGUGGGUAUUUUGUUUCUGCGCUUGCUGCUGAGAUGAGAUUCAGAAGCCUCUCAAUUAUGAUUGCAGAAGGAGUAUUUGCAUCUGCUGGUGUGCCAAAGGACUACCCACCCACACUUUUUGUUCACAUGCCUAAGGACCGUAAUACAAUGAAAAAGAUACAAAAGAACAUGAAAACUUUGAGACAGAAUGGCGUUCUUGUCAAGGAGAUUAGGUGUAUGCAGUUUCCUUUGUCUCCAGACUUGUUCUCCAACAGGAUUCCAGGGAUAAACCAGACAUUGUCUGUCAAAAUGUAUCAUCUUUUUUCUGAGAAAGGAUUUAUUGAUGAAAAUGGGUUUAUGAAUACUGACGGGCGACAAACUCAGUGGAAGGAAGCUCUUAUUCAAAGGAACAUUAUCCCAGAAAACUAUGAAUUGCUUAAUCACAUUGGGGAGGAAUUGAACCUUGCAUUUGCUUUGCAUGAAAUGACCAGUUUUGAGACAGAUGGUAUUCUUGACUGGUUUGAGUCUAAUAUGAGCUGAUCAAUGAAUCUUGUGGCUCAAUGAAUCUUGUGGCUGAUCAAUGAAUCUUGUGGCUCAUUCUUUUAUGAGCUGAUCAAUGAUAUAUGAGCUCUUAUUUACAGACAGAAAACUAUAAUAUGAGCUGAUCAAUGAAUCUUGUGGCUCAUUCUUUUUAAAGAAACGUUCAAAAUAGUUAGGCUCUAUCGGGACUUGUUAUAUAUUGCUCUGAAGAUUAUCUCAAGAGGCUCUCAUGAAGCCAACAGCGAAAACUGUAACAAGGGAGAUCAUUUCCAAAAGCAAAAUACAUACAUUGGCAGAAGAUUGAAACUCCUUCAAACCAAACUGUUCUGAGAACAGUUGUUGUUGACCAUAUUAGGAAAUGGGUGUUUUGCUCGAAUCCUCAUCGCCGACGUCCUCCUCAUCAUCCGUUGAAUUAUUUUGUCUGACUUUUUACAAAUGUUCGUGUGCCGAGCUUGGUGAAUCUGCUUGGUGGUGCCUUUUGGCGUAAGUUGAUUCAAUUCUCAUGCAUGAUUUGCUUUGUUAGAUCGAUACAUAUCGUCCUCGUGUUCUAUGCUCUUUCCUUAUCUGAGUAAUAUUGUUGAUUCUUCUCACAAUAAAUGAAGAUUUUGUGUUUAUCCCAUCAUAGAUUCAUAGCUUUCUCAACCUGCAUAGCUUUUCUUGGCUUAAAUGGUUGAUUAUAUCAAUUAUAACGUGUGCUCUAGUAGGAAAACUUAGCGCGGGUGAUGAGGUCUUCUUCUGAUGCUUCCCAAAGGCCCAUUGGUCUUAGACUUUUGGGCUUUGGGCUCAAUGAGUAUAUUGGGAUGACAGCCUUUACUUUUAUCUGGUCACCAAUAAUUGUGAUCCAUCAUUCAAAGGAUUUCAAUGAUUAAUAAGCCAUGGGUAGACAAAUUGUUUUUUGGAUUUUUUUAAUAUUUUAUUUUCAUUAAUUCCUAGUCAGUGUCCCUUAUUCAUUUAUUUUUGUAGAGCAUUUUUUUUAUUUAAAGAUGACAUUGCUCAUGGCCUUCGCCA